UCUUUCCACCGUCUUCCCAUUGUCGAACCCUCAACUCUUCCCACCGUCUUCUUCGUCUCCUUGUGCGGUUCAUUUUCACCAUUCAUCAAAAUCAUCUCUUCCAUUCCUCUUUUAUUCUGCAAAAUCAACAUUGAAUCGCGACUUGUCUUCAAUAAUUUACUUGCCUGCACCCACAAACACCAUUAUCAAUGAAGAUGACGAAAAUGAUGAUGAAUUAUUUCAAGAUGACGAUGAAGGCAAUGAAUUUGAAGAGGACAACAUAGAUGCUAAAUUUGAAGAGGACGAUGUUGAUGAUAAAUAUGAAGAAGACACACUUGAAUGAUUUAGAUGAUGAUUUUAGAUUAUGGUUUCUUGAAUGAUUUAGAUGAUGAUUUUAGAUUAUGGUUUCUUGAAUGAUGUUUUUUUCAUUAGGCAUGUACUUGAUUGAAGCACCAAAACUUCAACAAACUAUAUAUUUUGCUA